CAGUCGCCACGGGAAUACGAGGGGGGCAAGCGUUGUUCGGAAUUAUUGGGCGUAAAGGGUGCGUAGGCGGUUUGACAAGUCUUAUGUGAAAUCUCUGGGCUCAACCCAGAGUCUGCAUGGGAAACUGUCAGGCUUGAGUAUGGGAGAGGUGAGUGGAAUUUCCGGUGUAGCGGUGAAAUGCGUAGAUAUCGGAAGGAACACCUGUGGCGAAAGCGGCUCACUGGACCAUAACUGACGCUGAGGCACGAAAGCUAGGGGAGCAAACAGGAUUAGAUACCCGCGUAGUCCCUGUCUCUUAUAC
rnacentral:rRNA from 1 species